UACAGAGGGUGCAAGCGUUAAUCGGAAUUACUGGGCGUAAAGCGUGCGUAGGUGGUUAAUUAAGUCAGAUGUGAAAUCCCUGAGCUUAACUUAGGAACUGCAUUUGAUACUGGUUGACUAGAGUGUAAUAGAGGGUAGUGGAAUUCCACGUGUAGCGGUGAAAUGCGUAGAUAUGUGGAGGAACAUCAGUGGCGAAGGCGACUACCUGGAUUAACACUGACACUGAGGCACGAAAGCGUGGGGAGCAAACAGG
rnacentral:rRNA from 1 species